rnacentral:tRNA from 1 species
GCCUGGGUGGCUCAGUUGGUUAGGCAUCUGACUUCAGCUCAGGUCAUAAUCUCACAGCUCGUGGGUUCAAGCCCUGCAUCGGGCU